UCAUUACAACAGUUGAAAUUCGCGUGAAAUCCUUCUCAAUGGAUACUUCUAGUAAUUCUGGAGCUAAUACAGUGCAGUGCUUCGGCACCAUUUAUUAGAUUCACCAACCACCGGCAACGGUUGUUUCGGUGAUGAUUCUGAAUAACUCGCAGACCGCAUGCGCAAGCGGCGGCAAUUCACGCAAUCAACUGCCCUAUCAACUUUGAUGGUAGUUUAGUUGGCUACCAUGGUGAUAACGGGUAACGGAGGAUCAGGGUUUGACUCCGGAGAGGAUGCCUGAGAAACGGCAACCACAUCUAAGGAAGGCAGCAGGCGCGCAAAUUACCCACUCUCAAUGCGAGGAGGUAGUGACAACAACUAACGAGACUGCUUCCUAUGGGAGCAGUCAUCGAAAUGGGUAAAAUUCAAACCCUUUAACGAGGAUCAAUGAGAGGGCAAGUCUGGUGCCAGCAGCCGCGGUAAUUCCAGCUCUCAAAAUGUAUGACAUCAUUGCUGCGGUUAAAAAGCUCGUAGUUGGAUCUGAGCCCGCGGGGCCGGUCCACCUCUGUGUGGUACCGUGCUCCAGGGUUAAUUUCGUCGGCUCACGUCGGCGAGAGUUACUCUGAAGAAAUCAGAGUGCUCAAAACAGGCGUUUCGCUUGAAUGUUUUUGCAUGGAAUAAUGGAAAAGGACUUCGGUUCCUUACUGUUGGUUUCGGAAUUGGAUUAAUGAUUAAGAGGGACCAACGGGGGCAUACGUAUCGCUACGCGAGAGGUGAAAUUCAUGG
rnacentral:rRNA from 1 species